rnacentral:lncRNA from 1 species
AGAGAAGAGAGAGAUUUUGUUUACGGAUUUUUGAGUAGAAUACGAUUGUGAAGUGUAUAAGAAAAGAAGGUUUGUAUGAAGAAUUACGGUGUGGAGAUAUCUAUAAUAUCCGUCUUUCUUCUCUUUUAUUGUUUUAUUGUCGUUCUUUGUUCUAUUCGGGGCAACACGGGUUGUGCUCUAUGAAAAUAAAAUUUCAAUUUUCU